AACGAACGCUGGCGGCAGGCUUAACACAUGCAAGUCGAACGCCCGUAGCAAUACGGGAGUGGCGGACGGGUGAGUAACGCGUGGGAACGUGCCCUGAGGUACGGAAUAACUGCGGGAAACUGCAGCUAAUACCGUAUGAGCCCCGCAAGGGGGAAAGAUUUAUCGCCUUAGGAGCGGCCCGCGUCGGAUUAGCUAGUUGGUGGGGUAACGGCUUACCAAGGCUUCGAUCCGUAGCUGGUCUGAGAGGACGAUCAGCCACACUGGGACUGAGACACGGCCCAGACUCCUACGGGAGGCAGCAGUGGGGAAUCUUGCGCAAUGGGGGCAACCCUGACGCAGCCAUGCCGCGUGAAUGAUGAAGGCCUUAGGGUUGUAAAGUUCUUUUGCCCGUGACGAUGAUGACGGUAACGGGAGAAUAAGCUCCGGCUAACUUCGUACCAGCCGCCGCGGUAAAAC
rnacentral:rRNA from 1 species